CUGUCGAAAUGUGAUAAUGCGCAUCCACCUCCGGUGCCAAAUGUUUUUCGAUUAUGAUCUCCUUGUCCAGUCCGGCUUCAUACCACUGUUGGUUUUCAAGCGAGGUGAAUCAUGUGGUAUCGUAGUCCGGCGGUGGCUCGGCACGGCUAGUAGACGCGGUCUUCCGGCGAGAGCGAGGUGGCGGCUCCGGCAAAGGAGAUUCUUCCUCAGGUGACUCCUCAUGCAAAGAGGGUGUGUGUUCCUCACUUGAGGAAGGAGUAGGAGUACGAAUGCGAGCCCUCCUUGUGUGAGUCAUAGUUCCUCUUCAAAAAUAAG
rnacentral:lncRNA from 1 species